GGAGGAAUGGCAGAGUGGUCGAAUGCACCGGUUUUGAAAACCGGCGACUGUAACAGGUCCGGGGGUUCGAAUCCCUCUUCCUCCGCCA
rnacentral:tRNA from 1 species